rnacentral:pre_miRNA from 1 species
CUAUGAAUUAUCUGGGGAUCUUAUUAAAAUGAAGAUUCUGAUUCCAUAUGUCUGGGGUGGUAUCUGAGGUUCUCCAUUUCUAAUGAGCUCCCAAGUGAUGCUCAU